ensembl:lncRNA
AAUGGCUUGGCAUUCCCAGAGAGGUCAGGGGAGGCAGUCUGAGGGAUUGUCUCAAAGAAAGUACGUGCCCAGGAGGCCCCUGGUCCAAAGAAACCUGUCUGUCUGUGGGGAGAAUGAAGUGGACCAGUUACUAGACCUCCUUUCUACUCUCAACGAAGAUAGGCCUCCCUACUUAAGUGUCUCUGAUGAGGUGCUGGACAGGCACACAUCUGAGCCUGUCUUGAGACCGAGAAACCUGAGCCGCAACACUGAACGUGGUCCUGCUUGGAGUGCCAAGCUUGGGAAGUUGUCCCAUCAGGGAAGUGAGGAGAAAGGGUCAGAGGUCAAUUUGACUGACAGGGAUAUCCUUGUUCCUAUUCGGUUACAAGGGGGUGCUUCAUUGACCUCUGGUCAUCCUUAUGGCUCAAUUGCGGGUCGAGGUGAUGGUGGCAACUGUGUCAAUUGGCUUGGGAAAUGGGGCAGGGGACGUCAACAGCCAGUGGAGAGAGAAUGUGUCUCUUUUGUCCAAAAAUGCAACAGCGGUUCACUAGGUUCUACCUUUCCCGGAGAUGCUCCUUUCUACCCUGAAGUCCUCGACAUGCUAGACAGGCGUCAGGGGGAACAUGUAAAGCCUGCCUGUCCGAAGCAGAAUGAAAACGUGUCAACAUUCCAGGAUCUACUAGAGUCCUCCUGGAGAUCUGCGAGCUUGCAUAGGUCAAUGUUGGAUCUGGAGAUCGGCUUAUCAUUUGUGGAUCUAGGCCUACUACCCCAGGCACUGAAUACCUCUGGAGACUUGGCCUUAUCUCCUCUGAAUCUUGGAUCUCCUUUAGAUCACGAAUCUCAUGGGCCUAGGCCCUCUAUCUCUUGCAAUGCAAAAAUGUCAUGCUCCAUCAUCCACUGUCACAAAGGGGGCAGAAGGUGUUCUACCAGCAAGGAUGGGUCUUCCACAAGUCUAUAUAAGGCUAACAGGGAAACCGAGUUCUCUGAACUCCAUCUUCAAAGCGAAAUCGCAAAGAAUGCUGGACAACAAUCAACAAACAUCCAUUCUCCUAGUGUAUCAGUGAAGGCACACAUUAAACCAUGGAGGAAAGCUGAAAGAAAGGCAGAAAAGAAGACUCAUGUUUUUGCGUCGGCCAUGCGUGGCUCAGAUUGCCUCUCUCAGUAUAGCUUCAGCGGUAGACAAAACAGCACAGAGUACCCUGAGCAUAAUACAAAAUGGUCCAAUGAAUUCUCAGGUCAAGCUAAGUCAGAUUCAGUGGGCACUGUGCAUAGGUUUUACCCUACUUUAAAAGGGGUGGAGGAUUUGUUUGAGGUGCCGAGAGUCACAACAAGUAAUCCAGCUGUGUCACAUUCUCUCUUGUGGGAAGAAAGACUUGGAAUCACUAAGAAUUUGGGUCAAAUUACCCUCUCGGACAGAGAGAGGGCAGCUCACCUGAAGCGAAGCACUCCGAAUGCGCCAAGCCAAUACAACAGAGAGGACCUCUCUCUGCUCCUCCAUAGCCAUGGCAGAAGAACUCCUGGGUCAACUACUCCUGAAAGGCAAUGUCAGAUCGACCCAUUAGUUACAACACACACAGGCACAUUGCAUACAUUGACAGGAGGUGCCAGUGGUGAAUUUCUGGGUGAAAGAAAUCUGUCUGCAGUUCAUCAGUCCUUGCCUAUGCCUAUUGACGCAGUAGAGAUUCAUAGCCCCAGUCUUGUGGAGACAAUAGAGGACAGGUAUGGGACUCCUUAG